CUCAUCAUCGCUGUCCCGGCCGCUCCUGCUCUGCGGGGAGCGGAAGACAGUCGGCGCCCGUCCUCUACGCCACAGAUCACAAUCCGGGGCUCCGCCCAAAGAGCAGCCCCUGAAGGACGGCGUACUUUUCAAGGCCUUGGCGGCGACGUUGGAGAGAAACAAACAUUCUAACUUUGAACACGGCCUCCCCACCUCCCCCGCCCUACGCUGGGAAUUGAGCCCAAGUUCUCCUGCACGCUGGGCAAGCUCCCAGCCGCGGAGCCAAAGCCUCGCUCUCUCACCUCCUUUCCUAAUCUGUUUUUCUCUCUUUCUUUUUAUCUGUGUAAACUGAGAUAAGCGGACUUGGAAACACUACACCGAGCUAAGCUAGCAACUGAACUGGGUUGUCCUCAUGGAUGAUCAGCUUAUAUUUAGAAAAACAUUCCAAAUGACACUCAUAUUGGACCAAAAAUUGGAUAUCCUGGCCUAGUCGAAUCAGAACAUAAGAUUAAUUGGACGGGAAGGCAAUUGUUGGUGAGUUCCAGGAACUGAACUCACAGGUUGGCGCCCUCUGCCACCCUAUGUAAAUGAUAUCGUUGCCUGUGCCUCUGUGCCCACGUGGGAAGGGUUGAAGAAGAAAACGCCCGUGCAGCUUCUAUGCAUAAUGAUUGUAUUUAUUAUUUCUUUUGUAUUGUUGGUGUUCUUUUUAUGAAUUGUCACUUAUUUCUUCCAUUGCAGUGACAAAGACUGUUUAUAAAGGUCUACAUUUUGCAUCUGUAGAAUGACAUAUGCAGUAAAUGUUUAAACGAGUCGGAAUCAGAAAUUGCUUUGGUCCAGUUCAAGGUGCAUGUCAGCUAAACUCUGACCUUGUGGGAUUGCUUAGCACGAUUGUCAUUUGGAAUAAUAUUGGUCGAGAACUGCUCUGGUUGGCAUGUCACCUGGGUCAUGUGAAUUUUAUUUUCUUACGUAACUUUUAUGGUAAGAUGCCUUAAAACGCCACACGGAGUCUCCUGAUGAACCUUAUGCAAACAUUUCGCCUUCUGUAAAAAUGAAAGGACUGACGUGGAACACUUGUGUCCCCAACACAAGCUGGAGAAGCCGGAUUCUGGAUCACAACCCCCCAGCUGUGGGAAGGAGGGAUUGGAGGGAAGUAUGAUCUCUUCCCUCUCCACCUCUAGGAUUAGAUCUGUGUGCAUGCUGAGUGUCAAAAGUGCCAAAGCAGAUCUUUAAAACGUUUUUACUUAGUGGAGCUGGAGAGUUGACUCAGCUGUUAACAGUACUUGUUGCUCUCGACGAGGACCUGGGUUCAAUUCCCAGCACCCACCACUAUCUGCAACUCAUGUCCUGGGGGGGACACCCCUUUUGACCUCCAAGGGCAUUAGGCACUCACCUGGUGCAGACAUACCUGCAGACAAAAAAAUUCAUAUACACAAAAAAUAAUAAAAAAUUUAACUAAAAUAUAUUUUGUACGUGUAUGUGCACAUAUAUGUAUAUAGGCAUAAGUGUGUUGCUUCACAUGUGUGGAGUUCAGAGAACAAUCUUGGGAGUCAGUCUCUUUUCCCACUUUAUGGGACCCAAGGAUCAAACUCACAUCAUCAGCCUUAGCAGUGUUAGCUUUCAAACCCUGGAACAAAUGGCUGAGGUGCCUAUUUAAGAUAUCAAAGCAGACCUGGCUGCCAGGAUCUCCCAGCCUCCCUCAGUCAUCACCUGUUACAGGGUCCCCCUGGCUGGCAUAACCCACCCCCUACCCUGAACUCUCCAGCCCAGGCGGCUGGGCUGCUCUUCUUUAUAUAAUCCAACCAUUUUGGUUACCUGCUGUCUUUGUACCUUAGGGGUCUCCUGGCUGUUGCACCUCCCCACCCCCACCUCUACCCCGACCCACCACCCACCCCACCCCACCCCCGCUUUCCCCUGUAUUUUCCCUCCCCCUCUCCAGAGCCACAUGGCCCAGCUCAGUUUGGUCAUGUCCACUCCGGACUCUCCUAGAUAUCCCUGGCCCUGGCUAUGCUCUUCCAUGUAUCUAUAAUAAACUUUCUCCUCCACCAUACUGGGGACCGGUCAUGUUCUUUUCCUUUUUAUUCUUUUUUUUAUUCAAGCAGCAAGUGCCCUUAUUUGAUAAGGAUUAGUCAAGGAGGCACGGGAACUUGACAGGACAAUUGGUCUUAGACAUGAACCUUGUGUACCCGGUAUGGCUUGCAAACUUCACCGAGUCCUGGCACGGUAUUGAUCCUGGCAAUUACCAUUAUAUUCUGUCUCUGAUAAGGGUAUUAAAAAGUCUGAUUGCUCUCAAUAAAAUUGCCACAGCCUCAGUUGUGCUGUGGCCCCUCCGA